rnacentral:guide_RNA from 1 species
ACAUAAACGAUGAGUAAUAUGACGUUGUAGAUCACAGUGAUAAU